UCAAGUAAUGGAAGUGCAAUGGCUACUGGGAAACAUAGGCCAUGGACAAACAUUUGUGGAUACCUGAUCAUAAUAUUGAUGACGUGCAUGAUUGCUGCUGAUUCUGGUCCGGAGGUGGUAUUCUUCUGUCUUGGUUGGAGCAUGUCCUUCUUCAUGCACACAACUCUACACAGAUCAGGCAUAACAUUAUGACCACCUGCCUAAUCUUGCGUUGGUUCCCUUUUGCUGCCAAAACAGUAGUGACCUGUGGAACAUGAACAGCAUUUACUGCUUCAGGAGAUCGUCUGUUGGAUCGGACCACACGUACCAGCCUUCACUCCCCACGUUCAUCGAUGUGUCUUGGCCGCCCGUGACUCCGUCACCAGUUCACCACUGUUCCUCCCUUGGACCAAAUUUGAUAGAUACUGACCACUGCAGACCACCGCAGACCGGGAACAAAACUCAAACUCGCUCAAAUGCUUACGCUUGCCAAUUUUUCCUGCUUCCAACACGUCAACUUUAAGGGGCAAAAAUUUUCACUUGCAGCCAAAUAUAUCACACCCACUAUGAUGAAGAGAUAAUGUUAUAAUGUUAAAAUACAUACUGGGUGUUUGUUCUAAGGUGAGCAUCGAUUUGCAAAUGUCAGGAUCGAUAUGAUGGGGGUUGAUACUUGAAGAUUGAUAGAAAUCAGAAUGAUAGAUUGUUCUCUCUCUUUUUUGAUGAGCAUUAGGGUGAGAUGAUAAAUGCGUUGUGGUUAAAAUGGACUCACUGUUUACUAUUAUUAUUAUUAUCAGUCUGAUUAAUAUUAAUAAUAAUCGGAAGGUCCUUGAAGAACCAGCAGGUCCCAAAAACUAAAAGAAUCCAGGUGGUGGAAAAAGACCAGGUUGAGCUCAAAAUCCAAAAUGGUGGAAACAAUGUUGUGUUUUUUCCGUGUGCUAAAUGUGUUGGCUUUGUGUUGUCAAUACAAUAAUAAUAAAACACGUAUGGAUAUUAGAGACGCACUAUAUUGUCAAAAGUUUGCGGACACCUGGUCAUAAGUACGGUAUGUGCUUUUUGAGCAUCG